AUUGAACGCUGGCGGCAGGCCUAACACAUGCAAGUCGAGCGCGAGGCGGAGGGGUGAGUAAUGUCUGGGAAACUGUCUGAUGGAGGGGGAGAACUACUGGAAACGGUAGCUAAUACCGCACACCACAACAUGUGACCAGAUGGGAUUAGCUAGUGGGUGGGGGAUGGGCUCACCCAGGCGACGAUCCCUAGCUGGUCUGAGAGGAUGACCAGCCACACGGGGACUGAGACACGGCCCAGACUCCUACGGGAGGCAGCAGUGGGAAAUAUUGCCCAAUGGGCGCAAGCCUGAUGCAGCCAUGCCGCGUGUAUGAAGAAGGCCUUCGGGUUGUAAAGUACUUUCAGCGGGGAGGCGUUACCCGCAGAAGAAGCACCGGCUAACUCCGUGCCAGCUGCCGCGGUAAUUC
rnacentral:rRNA from 1 species